CUACGGGAGGCAGCAGUGGGGAAUAUUGCACAAUGGGCGCAAGCCUGAUGCAGCCAUGCCGCGUGUAUGAAGAAGGCCUUCGGGUUGUAAAGUACUUUCAGCGGGGAGGAAGGGAGUAAAGUUAAUACCUUUGCUCAUUGACGUUACCCGCAGAAGAAGCACCGGCUAACUCCGUGCCAGCAGCCGCGGUAAUACGGAGGGUGCAAGCGUGUAAUCGGAAUUACUGGGCGUAAGGCGCACGCAGGCGGUUUGUUAAGUCAGAUGUGAAAUCCCCGGGCUCAACCUGGGAACUGCAUCUGAUACUGGCAAGCUUGAGUCUCGUAGAGGGGGGUAGAAUUCCAGGUGUAGCGGUGAAAUGCGUAGAGAUCUGGAGGAAUACCGGUGGCGAAGGCGGCCCCCUGGACGAAGACUGACGCUCAGGUGCGAAAGCGUGGGGAGCAAACAGGAUUAGAUACCCCUGUAGUC
rnacentral:rRNA from 1 species